ACCUAAGAUGUCGGAUUUCUUUGGGUUGCAAGAACUCUCGCCCAAUGACAAGUCAAAAUAGUGUAUAUUAAUAAUGUAUGCUCAAGUUAUAUACAUAGAUUAAUAAAUAAAUAUAAUAAUUCUCGAGACCUCGUCCUUGAAUAUUCAUAAAAAAUAAUUUAUCCUCCUUGAAUUAUUUUAGUGCUAUAUCAUAUCAGUGGUAUAGUGCCGAUUAUUUCAGGUCCACUAAAAUUGAAGUAUUUAAUGGUGUAUUGCGUAUAUUAUUGCUGAUCUGAUCCGAAUUUGUUUGUUCUAUAUAAUGUUUGUGUAAGGUUUUGCAUCGUUAAGCAUACUACCCAGUAGAUCGACUUCACCAGGUAUGCAUUUCUGGGCUUAUGUACUCAUGAACAUCUGCCGACUUUCCUUAACUAGGAUUCUUUACCUAAAUUCUGGGGAUUCUUCCAUGCCUUAAUCCCAAAGUUAAUUUUGACGACGAGCUACCGAUUCUAUUGUGAAAUGGAUUUUUAUGCUUGGAAUGGAUUUUUUUUUACAGAAAACUUGUGAAAUUUAAGGAAAACUUAAGGUUGAUGUGUGAUAGUGUGUGAUGCUGAGAAGUUUAUUUUAAUGUCCUAAAUGCGUUGUUACCUUCUUCCUGCUUUUUAAUACCCCAUAAUGUCCUAAAUGCUGAGAAGUUUAUUUUAAAACUCUUUCCCAUCAAAGAAGUGCACAACUCUGCAGAGAGCUUGAAAGUUUGACAACAAUAUUAUGUGCCAGUGCUUCUGUUUGGCAAAAAGAGUUCAAUGAAUUGUGCUUGUUACCUUCUUCCUGCAUUUUAAAUAUCUGCAUUCGAUCUUGCUCAGAUGUAAAUCAUAUUAACACAUAGACAUCCUUAUCUAUUUUUCACACCAUUUAUGAAGCUAUAUCCUUGUCUAGCCUAUACUACCUCUCUGUACAAACAGAGACAACCAACUAUAUCUUUCUUGUUGUCUAUGCUUAUUGUUUAUAUGAAUAUUUAAAUUUGGUUGUGUGUUGACCAUGCUGUGUGUUGAGGUUGCUAUUGAGAUGUUUCUGUGUUUGAUUGCUGGUAUUUGGAUGUCUUCUUCUAUACCGCUAGCUGUUGUGUUUGCUUUUGUUGUUAUUGAGAUGGCUGUUUGAUGCAAAUUUGGGAUGAUCUUUUCUUGCACACGGCAACCAUGUUGCCGUUGUUUCUAAUUUCGUAACCUGUUCUUAUAGGAUGGUUAACGAUAGAUAGAAAAAAGAAAGGAGACGGAGGCCGUUGUCAUUAUGGUGGAGGACAUUGUCCGUACCCAGUAACAGGAUUUGCUUGCAUUGUUGAACAUGGUUCGCGCAAUGAUUUCUUCGCAGAAUAGGGGGAUGGGGCGGUCGUGCAGCAGUCGCAUACAACAUGAAAACAAAAGUCCCACCCAAGUUAAGCGCAUGGACCGACUGUUUGGUGUAACUGACAAGGACUGCAUCAGCAAUCUCAGGAUGGACUGCAACGCAUUUGGGCGGUUGUGUCGUAUCCUCCGAGACAUGUCCGGAUUAGUAGACCAAAGAUAUGUCAGCGUCGAGGAGCAUGUUGCCAUGUUUUUGAGUACCAUUGCUCAUCACAAGAAAACUCGGAUUGUUGGGUUCGACUUCAUAAGGUCAGGAUAUACCGUCAGCCGUUACGUUCACCGGGUCAUGCGUGCGGUUAUCCAUCUACACAGUGUCCUUUUGGUGAAACCAAGUCUGAUUGAUGAUACGUGUGACGAUCCACGUUGGAAAUGGUUCAAGGGAUGCCAGUGCACUAGACGGGACAUACAUUAACGUAGGUGUUAGUAUAUCUGAUGCACCUCGGUAUAGGUCACGCAAAGGGCAGAUCUCUACGAACACACUUGCAGUGUGUGGCAGGUUCUUACGAUUCGUGUACGUCCUACCGGGAUGGGAGGGAUCAUGGCUGAUUCCUGCGUUCUCCGUGAUGCUGUGACUCGUCCCAACGGACUCAAAGUCACCAGAGGAUCAUAUUACUUGUGCGAUAACAGCUAUGCCAACAGUGAAGGCUUCCUUACAAUUUUGAAGGGAGUCAGGUACCAUCUUAAGGAAUGGGGGCCACAACAUCAGAGGCCGACUAGUCCACGAGAACUCUACAACAUGCGGCAUACCAUGGCACGGAAUGUCACCGAGCGUGCCUUUGCCAUCUUGAAGAUGCGGUGGGGAAUAUUGCGGAGCGCUAGCUUUUACCCCAUCCAGACUCAGUCCCGUCUCAUCAUGGCAUGCUUUCUCCUGUCCAGACUUAUGAGGUGCAUUUUGUUGUGUUUAUUUAAUUGGUUAUCCCCUUUAUUUUUGUUGUUUAUGUUUAGAUUGUGGUGAUUAACACACAAUACUAGGAUAAUUGGUUCUCCUUAGAGGAUUACUUAAUUGGUUAUCC